rnacentral:rRNA from 1 species
AUACGGAGGGUGCAAGCGUGAUCCGGAAUCAUUGGGUUUAAAGGGUCCGUAGGCGGACUAUUAAGUCAGAGGUGAAAUCCCACAGCUCAACUGUGGAACUGCCUUUGAUACUGGUAGUCUUGAGUUAUAUGGAAGUAGAUAGAAUGUGUAGUGUAGCGGUGAAAUGCAUAGAUAUUACACAGGAUACCGAUUGCGAAGGCAGUCUACUACGUAUAUACUGACGCUAAGGGACGAAAGCGUGGGGAGCGAACAGGAUUAGAAACCCCUGUAGUCA